rnacentral:rRNA from 1 species
UCGAGGGGUAGUAUAGCAAUAUAUGAGACCGGCGCACGGGUGCGUAACGCGUAUGCAACCUACCUUUUACAGGGGAAUAGCCCAGAGAAAUUUGGAUUAAUGCCCCAUGGUAUAUUUUAGUGGCAUCACUGGAUUAUUAAAGUUCCAACGGUAAAAGAUGGGCAUGCGUCCUAUUAGCUAGAUGGUAAGGUAACGGCUUACCAUGGCUACGAUAGGUAGGGGUCCUGAGAGGGAGAUCCCCCACACUGGUACUGAGACACGGACCAGACUCCUACGGGAGGCAGCAGUGAGGAAUAUUGGACAAUGGGCGCAAGCCUGAUCCAGCCAUGCCGCGUGCAGGAAGAAGCAUCUAUGGUGUGUAAACUGCUUUUGUACGGGAAGAAACACUCCUACGUGUAGGAGCUUGACGGUACCGUAAGAAUAAGGAUCGGCUAACUCCGUGCCAGCAGCCGCGGUAAUACGGAGGAUCCAAGCGUUAUCCGGAAUCAUUGGGUUUAAAGGGUCCGUAGGCGGUUUGGUAAGUCAGUGGUGAAAGCCCUUCGCUCAACGGAGGAACGGCCAUUGAUACUGCCAGACUUGAAUUACUGGGAAGUAACUAGAAUAUGUAGUGUAGCGGUGAAAUGCUUAGAUAUUACAUGGAAUA